rnacentral:tRNA from 1 species
GGGAAUGUGGCCUAGUGGUAGAGUACUUGCCUAGCAUGCAUGAAGCCCUGGGUUCGAUUCCUCAGUACCA